AGCCUGCGAGGGGGAGGCGAAUCCCAAAAAUAAACGUCCCAGCUCGGAUUGUAGUCUGCAACCCGACUACAUGAAGCUGGAAUCGCUAGUAAUCGCGGAUCAGAAUGCCGCGGUGAAUACGUUCCCGGGUCUUGUACACACCGCCCGUCACACCAUGGGAGUUGGUAACGCCCGAAGUCAGUGACCUAACCGCAAGGGAGGAGCUGCCGAAGGUGGGACCAGUAACUGGGGUGAAGUCGUAACAAGGUACC
rnacentral:rRNA from 1 species